rnacentral:rRNA from 1 species
AAUCCAUAGGUUAAUGAGGCGAACCGGGGGAACUGAAACAUCUAAGUACCCCGAGGAAAAGAAAUCAACCGAGAUUCCCCCAGUAGCGGCGAGCGAACGGGGAGGAGCCCAGAGCCUGAAUCAGCAUGUGUGUUAGUGGAAGCGUCUGGAAAGGCGCGCGAUACAGGGUGACAGCCCCGUACACAAAAGCGCAUGUGCUGUGAGCUCGAUGAGUAGGGCGGGACACGUGGUAUCCUGUCUGAAUAUGGGGGGACCA